AAGGAGAGCUUGCUCUCCGGAUUCAGCGGCGGACGGGUGAGUAACACGUGGGCAACCUGCCUGUAAGAUCGGGAUAACUCCGGGAAACCGGGGCUAAUACCGGAUGGUUCCUUCCUCCGCAUGGAGGAAGGCGGAAAGACGGUUUCGGCUGUCACUUACAGAUGGGCCCGCGGCGCAUUAGCUAGUUGGUGGGGUAACGGCCUACCAAGGCAACGAUGCGUAGCCGACCUGAGAGGGUGAUCGGCCACACUGGGACUGAGACACGGCCCAGACUCCUACGGGAGGCAGCAGUAGGGAAUCUUCCGCAAUGGACGAAAGUCUGACGGAGCAACGCCGCGUGAGCGAAGAAGGCCUUCGGGUCGUAAAGCUCUGUUGUAAGGGAAGAACAAGCAUCGGUUAACUGCCGGUGCCCUGACGGUACCUUACCAGAAAGCCACGGCUAACUACGUGCCAGCAGCCGCGGUAAUACGUAGGUGGCAAGCGUUGUCCGGAAUUAUUGGGCGUAAAGCGCGCGCAGGCGGUCCUUUAAGUCUGAUGUGAAAGCCCACGGCUCAACCGUGGAGGGUCAUUGGAAACUGGGGGACUUGAGUGCAGAAGAGGAAAGCGGAAUUCCACGUGUAGCGGUGAAAUGCGUAGAGAUGUGGAGGAACACCAGUGGCGAAGGCGGCUUUCUGGUCUGUAACUGACGCUGAGGCGCGAAAGCGUG
rnacentral:rRNA from 1 species